rnacentral:rRNA from 1 species
AUUGAACGCUGGCGGCAUGCUUUACACAUGCAAGUCGAACGGCAGCACGAAAGAGCUUGCUCUUUUGGUGGCGAGUGGCGAACGGGUGAGUAAUGCAUCGGAACGUACCGAGUAAUGGGGGAUAACUGUCCGAAAGGAUAGCUAAUACCGCAUACGCUUUGAGAAGGAAAGUGGGGGCUCUUCGGACCUCACGUUAUUCGAGCGGCCGAUGUCUGAUUAGCUAGUUGGUGGGGUAAAGGCCUACCAAGGCGACGAUCAGUAGCGGGUCUGAGAGGAUGAUCCGCCACACUGGGACUGAGACACGGCCCAGACUCCUACGGGAGGCAGCAGUGGGGAAUUUUGGACAAUGGGCGCAAGCCUGAUCCAGCCAUGCCGCGUGUCUGAAGAAGGCCUUCGGGUUGUAAAGGGCUUUUGUUAGGGAAGAAAAGGAUAGUGUUAAUACCAUUAUCUGCUGACGGUACCUAAAGAAUAAGCACCGGCUAACUACGUG